AUACGUAGGGGGCGAGCGUUGUCCGGAAUGAUUGGGCGUAAAGGGCGCGUAGGCGGCCCGGUAAGUCUGGAGUGAAAGUCCUGUUUUUAAGAUGGGAAUUGCUUUGGAUACUGUCGGGCUUGAGUGCAGGAGAGGUAAGUGGAAUUCCCAGUGUAGCGGGGAAAUGCGUAGAGAUUGGGAGGAACAUCAGUGGCGAAGGCGACUUACUUGACUGUAACUGACGCUGAGGCGCGAAAGUGUGGGGAGCAAACAGGAUUAGAUACCCUGGUAGUCCACACUGUAAACGAUGAAUGCUAGGUGUAGGGGGUAUCGACCCCUUCUGUGCCGCAGUCAACACAAUAAGCAUUCCGCCUGGGGAGUACGGCCGCAAGGUUGAAACUCAAAGGAAUUGACGGGG
rnacentral:rRNA from 1 species